CUCAGAGCCACCUCUGCUUUCAGCCAGGAUGUCCACUUGGGGGGGUACUGCUACCAGAAGUAGGAAUGGCCCUAGGACCCUACAACCUUCACCCCACUCUAUCUUCCCUUGCAAUAAGCCUGCCACUACAGAAGGGGAGCAGAGCCCACAGAAAUCUAGAGCUAAAGGGGCAUUUCUAGCCACCAUGAGCAAGAGGAGGACCAGCCCGGAAGUCUCUCCAAGAGCCCCAAAGUCCAGGAAUCCCCACCAAAGGAUUCAGAAACAGCGCCCACAGUCCGGGGCCCCUCUGAACGGGGACACGGGUUCGAGCCCCGGUCCGGGAAGAUUCCACAUGCUGCGGAG